UACGGAGGGUGCAAGCGUUAUCCGGAUUUACUGGGCUUAAAGGGUGUGUAGGCGGGCUUUUAAGUCAGUGGUGAAAUCUCCGGGCUCAACCCGGAAACUGCCAUUGAUACUAUUAGUCUUGAAUUUUGUUGAGGUAGGCGGAAUAAGUCAUGUAGCGGUGAAAUGCAUAGAUAUGACUUAGAACACCAAUGGCGAAGGCAGCUUGCUAAACAAAUAUUGACGCUGAGGCACGAAAGCGUGGGGAUCAAACAGG
rnacentral:rRNA from 1 species